CAGGUGGCAUUACUGGAGCGUGGAUGUCGAUCGCGUUCACUCGAACCCGCGUGGAUACAUCGAUAAUGAACGACGUAAUGGCUGAAACCUCAUUCCUUUUGUGAUCCAAAGAGGACCAUUGACAACAUAUGUCAAGGUCAUUGGCUUAUGCUGCUGUAUUCUUGAACAGUGAUAGGCGCCGUCAUAGGAAGCAUGGGAGCAUUGUCAUUAACGUCGUUCAAAGUUACUACGAACGAUAAAGGUGCGGAAGCUGCGACGCCUGUUUUUUCUCUGGCAACCACUUGAAACCGAAAGCGACCAGGACUCGGCGGAUCUCGGUCUAAAUUCUCCUCGUUCACAACCAAUAUUCCGGAGGAGUCGAUUGCGAAGAAAUUGGUUGUUAAUUCGAAUGAGUACGAUGGCUUCGGAUCUUCAGGGCCCUGAAUAUUGUUAUUAAUAAUAUAAUUAUUGACUUGUACUGCUACAUAGGUUGCUGCGAAAGUUUCGGGAAUCUGCUAUUUCUAGCUUUAUGUUAUUUUCGUGAAGCUUUACGUUUUUCAGGUUACAAGAUGCUCGCACAACACA